rnacentral:misc_RNA from 1 species
GAUGAAGAACGUAGCGAAAUGCGAUAAGUAAUGUGAAUUGCAGAAUUCAGUGAAUCAUCGAAUCUUUGAACGCACAUUGCGCCCCCUGGUAUUCCGGGGGGCAUGCCUGUUCGAGCGUCAUUUCACCACUCAAGCCUCGCUUGGUAAUGGGCAACGCGGUCCGCCGCGUGCCUCAAAUCGACCGGCUGGGUCUUCUGUCCCCUAAGCGUUGUGGAAACUAUUCGCUAAAGGGUGUUCGGGAGGCUACGCCGUAAAACAACCCCAUUUCUAAGGUUGACCUCGGAUCAGGUAGGGAUACCCGCUGAACUUAAGCAUAUCAAUAAGCGGAGGA